rnacentral:rRNA from 1 species
UUAAGCAAACGCGAAGCCGUAGCGAAAGCGAGUCUGAAUAGGGCGCUUAGUCAGAUGCUGCAGACCCGAAACGAAGUGAUCUAUCCAUGAGCAAGUUGAAGCUAGUGUAAGAACUAGUGGAGGACUGAACCCAUAGGCGUUGAAAAGCCCCGGGAUGACUUGUGGAUAGGGGUGAAAGGCCAAUCAAACUUCGUGAUAGCUGGUUCUCUCCGAAAUAUAUUUAGGUAUAGCGUUGUGUCGUAAUAUAAGGGGGUAGAGCACUGAAUGGGCUAGGGCAUACACCAAUGUACCAAACCCUAUCAAACUCCGAAUACCUUAUAUGUAAUCACAGCAGUCAGGCGGCGAGUGAUAAAAUCCGUCGUCAAGAGGGAAACAACCCAGACUACCAGCUAAGGUCCCUAAAUCUUACUUAAGUGGAAAACGAUGUGAAGUUACUUAAACAACCAGGAGGUUGGCUUAGAAGCAGCCAUCCUUUAAAGAAAGCGUAAUAGCUCACUGGUCUAGUGAUUUUGCGCGGAAAAUAUAACGGGGCUAAAGUAAGUACCGAAGCUGUAGACUUAGUUUACUAAGUGGUAGGAGAGCGUUCUAUUUGCGUCGAAGGUAUACCGGUAAGGAGUGCUGGAGCGAAUAGAAGUGAGCAUGCAGGCAUGAGUAGCGAUAAUUAAUGUGAGAAUCAUUAACGCCGUAAACCCAAGGUUUCCUACGCGAUGCUCGUCAUCGUAGGGUUAGUCGGGUCCUAAGUCGAGUCCGAAAGGGGUAGACGAUGGCAAAUUGGUUAAUAUUCCAAUACCAACAUUAGUGUGCGAUGGAAGGACGCUUAGGGCUAAGGGGGCUAGCGGAUGGAAGUGCUAGUCUAAGGUCGUAGGAGGUUAUACAGGCAAAUCCGUAUAACAAUACUCCGAGAACUGAAAGGCUUUUUGAAGUCUUCGGAUGGAUAGAAGAACCCCUGAUGCCGUCGAGCCAAGAAAAGUUUCUAAGUUUAGCUAAUGUUGCCCGUACCGUAAACCGACACAGGUGGGUGGGAUGAGUAUUCUAAGGCGCGUGGAAGAACUCUCUUUAAGGAACUCUGCAAAAUAGCACCGUAUCUUCGGUAUAAGGUGUGGUUAGCUUUGUAUUAGGAUUUACUCCGAAAGCAAGGAAACUUACAACAAAGAGUCCCUCCCGACUGUUUACCAAAAACACAGCACUCUGCUAACUCGUAAGAGGAUGUAUAGGGUGUGACGCCUGCCCGGUGCUCGAAGGUUAAUUGAUGGGGUUAGCAUUAGCGAAGCUCUUGAUCGAAGCCCGAGUAAACGGCGGCCGUAACUAUAACGGUCCUAAGGUAGCGAAAUUCCUUGUCGGUUAAAUACCGACCUGCAUGAAUGGCGUAACGAGAUGGGAGCUGUCUCAAAGAGGGAUCCAGUGAAAUUGUAGUGGAGGUGAAAAUUCCUCCUACCCGCGGCAAGACGGAAAGACCCCGUGGACCUUUACUACAGCUUGACACUGCUACUUGGAUAAGAAUGUGCAGGAUAGGUGGGAGGCUUUGAGUAUAUGACGCCAGUUGUAUAUGAGCCAUUGUUGAGAUACCACUCUUUCUUAUUUGGGUAGCUAACCAGCUUGAGUUAUCCUCAAGUGGGACAAUGUCUGGUGGGUAGUUUGACUGGGGCGGUCGCCUCCCAAAUAAUAACGGAGGCUUACAAAGGUUGGCUCAGAACGGUUGGAAAUCGUUCGUAGAGUAUAAAGGUAUAAGCCAGCUUAACUGCAAGACAUACAAGUCAAGCAGAGACGAAAGUCGGUCUUAGUGAUCCGGUGGUUCUGUGUGGAAGGGCCAUCGCUCAAAGGAUAAAAGGUACCCCGGGGAUAACAGGCUGAUCUCCCCCAAGAGCUCACAUCGACGGGGAGGUUUGGCACCUCGAUGUCGGCUCAUCGCAUCCUGGGGCUGGAGCAGGUCCCAAGGGUAUGGCUGUUCGCCAUUUAAAGCGGUACGCGAGCUGGGUUCAGAACGUCGUGAGACAGUUCGGUCCCUAUCUGCCGUGGGCGUAAGAAGAUUGAAGAGAUUUGACCCUAGUACGAGAGGACCGGGUUGAACAAACCACUGGUGUAGCUGUUGUUCUGCCAAGAGCAUCGCAGCGUAGCUAAGUUUGGAAAGGAUAAACGCUGAAAGCAUCUAAGCGUGAAGCCAACUCUAAGAUGAAUCUUCUCUAAGCUCUCUAGAAGACUACUAGUUUGAUAGGCUGGGUGUGUAAUGGAUGAAAGUCCUUUAGCUGACCAGUACUAAUAGAGCGUUUGGCUUAUCUUUAAUAAAGCAU